rnacentral:lncRNA from 1 species
UAAGUUCCAAAAAUCAAUAGCAAUGACUAAGGAUAUAUAUGCAUCUCCUCAUUCCCAUUACGCACUGCCAAAUUCCGGUGUUCGAAGUCGUAACCUGGUGGUGCCAUUUCAAACCUUACAGCACCAUAGAUUAUGGUAUUUUCAACUGCUUCGUACUUUUCAAUUCCCUGUCGUUCCAUUAUUCUUAUGGGACAAUUGAUGAUCUGCAAGGUUCUCAAAGUUUCUGCCGAGUUUUCAAGCCAUUGGGGUAAUCUUUCCACUCUUGGAAGCUCUUUGAUCGUGAAUCUUUGAAGCUUGAAUUCCACUUCUUUUAAGUUUAGUGUAAGUUGCUUGCAACUCCAAAUCAUCAAAUUUUGUAGUGAUUUUAGAUAUCUCAUCUCGUCUGGCAACAAUUUCAAGGUAGUGCAAUUAUAUAUCAUUAGGGUUUCGAGGCCUGCAAGGCAAUCUGGGCGUUCAAAUAGAUUUUCUAGGUUAUUGCACCCUCCAAUGGCAAGAAACCGCAGAGAAUUCAUGGUUCCAACUCCGUUUUUGUCCAGACGAAGCUUGUUUGUUGUUACCCACAAGUAUCUCAGGCUGAUCAAAUUCCUUAUAUCCUUGGGCAGGUCUUCAAGUGCGGAACAAGAUCCAAGAAUUAAGGUUUGCAAACUUUGUAGAUUACAUAUUGAAUUUGGUAGAUGCUUGAUUUUCGUAUUGCCAUGCAAGUCGAGGUAUCUCAGGUACUUGAGUGUUCCUAUGGAAUUUGGAAUUUCCUGUAGGUCUGCAUUGCUUAAAUACAACAAUCUUAACCCUUUGUACUUCCAGAUGCACUUUUCAGUUAGGGAUGCAUUAGGUAGCACCAUAUUUCUUUCUUGAAAGGCUAUGGAUCUUAUUUCAGUGACUUCUUUGGGAUGAUUGUUGCCCCCCGAGCCCUCAGAUUGUUCUUGUGUGAUUUUGUGUGCAAGUUUUU